UAUACAGGCCUUUCAUGACGUGAAGCGUUUUUAUAGAUUCCACUCUUUAUGCAAAUGUGAUCGCUCCUCCUGGUCUCAGGUCUGUGGGGAUGAAAAGGUGAACAGAGAGGUUGUAGUGUCUUAGUAUAAAGCUGAAGUCUGUCCAGAACUGAGAGAAAUCGGAGAGCAAAUCAUACAACAUGUUUCUUUUUUAUUAUGUCACCUGUCUGUCCUUACUGCUCGGAGUCACGGCAGAAACACUUAUCCAGUCCAAUUCAGAAGUUAAAAAACCUGGAGAGAGCUGGAAGAUGUCCUGUAAAGGAUCUGGAUUUCAGAUUUCCAGCACCUAUAUACACUGGGUUCAACAGAUUCCAGGGAGAGGACUGACAUGGAUUGGGAGGAUUGAUCCUGCUAAUGGAAAUGUAAAAUAUUCCUCUUCAUAUCGGGGAAGAUUCACAAUAACAUCUGAUAAGUCCAUAAACACGGCGUAUCUACAAAUAGACAAUGUGAAAGUGGAAGACACGGCCACAUAUUACUGUGCUAGAGACACAGCGAUUAAAAAUCAUCAUCUUCCAUACAAAAACAUAAAGACAAUUCCCCUUUCUGACCACAAGGCUGCAGGAGAUACUCAGGAUUGUCCAUUUCAUUAUUUAUCAUUGAUAUACAUAAACCCCAUGUGAGUUUGGUAUAUGUUGUCAGAAAUAUGUCUUUCUAUUUUUGUAUCCUUUCUGUUUUUUAUUUCUGAAAUAAUCCAGACAGUGGUAUUAAUAUUCUGAGGGCUUUAGGAGAAAGAUGAACUUUUUACCCAAAUAGUUUCAAAUAGCAGACAUUUGAUUUGCACUGCCUACAGUAUACACAAAUAAGCC